rnacentral:rRNA from 1 species
UACGAAGGGGGCUAGCGUUGCUCGGAAUCACUGGGCGUAAAGGGUGCGUAGGCGGGUCUUUAAGUCAGGGGUGAAAUCCUGGAGCUCAACUCCAGAACUGCCUUUGAUACUGAAGAUCUUGAGUUCGGGAGAGGUGGAGUGGAACUGGCGAGUGUAGAGGUGAAAUUCGUAGAUAUUCGCAAGAACACCAGUGGCGAAGGCGGACUCACUGGCCCGAUACUGACGCUGAGGCACGAAAGCG